CUGCUGUCUUAUUCUCAACGCCUAGCACAGGCUCAACAUGUGGUUGGCCCACAAUAAAUGCUUGCAAUGGAAUAAAAUCAUGAUGAACUGUCAACGAGGCUUUGACCUUCUGAUGGGUAAUGUGCCAACAUCAUAACAAGGUUCAAGGGAGGCACAUCUCAUACGAGUGUGAAAAGGCAAUCAUCAUGCUUAUGAACUACAAGAUUAUCCUAUAUAUUCAUUUUCAAUUAUUUUAUCCUCCUCUGCCUCUUGCCCUGGACUAUAUAAGACCUGCAAUAUAAUGUUGAAUAAGGAAGGUGAAAACGAACAUCAUUGCAUCACUCCUGAUAUCAAAGGUGGCAAGUUGAUUUCAAUACCUGAUUGAUUGAUAGCUGUUGCCUAGAAAGAAGGCUGUGUAGAAAAGGAUUUUGAGGUUGCACCUGGGCUCAGUGGGAAAGAAGGCUGCGGUUGAUUGGUGACAAAACUGAGGCUCAGAGGCCAAUGGCCUUGUUCAAGGUCACACGCCCACUAAAUGAGAGACCCGGAGACCUGGCAUCACACGUACCAAAAAUUAAAAGCAAAGAUGCUUAAAUCAACUGCAGUCCUUCUGGGCAGAUGUUCCUAAAUGCAAUCCAUCUAAGAGGAAAGAGUUUUUGAGGGAAGGGUGAUCACUGGGCCUCUACAUGCCACACCCGGAAGGCCCAGCAGUGGGGCAAGGAUAGAACACACAGUUUGGCGAUGUGACCCUGCCUGUCUGCACACCUCAGGAUCCCACCACCCAACAGGCAUACAUCUCCUGGAGCUACAGAGAUGCCAAAUGCCAGAGAAGGGAAGCAGGAAGGGAGAUGAAGACAAGGAACUCUGAAAAAUGGAAGCAGAAACACAGGCUGUAUUUUCCCCUAUCCUUCUUUUCUUUGUUCCCUUUUUUCUCUUUUGAAUGAAAAAUAAAAAUGCAGAAAACCUCAGGA
rnacentral:lncRNA from 1 species